rnacentral:rRNA from 1 species
UGCCUGUACCAUAACCGACACAGGUGGGUAAGUAGAGUAUACUAAGGGGCGCGAGAUAACUCUCUCUAAGGAACUCGGCAAAAUAACUCCGUAACUUCGGGAGAAGGAGUGCCUUAUUCUUAAGGUUGCAAUAACAAGAUCCAAGCAACUGUUUAUCAAAAACACAGGUCUCCGCUAAGUCGUAAGACGAUGUAUGGGGGCUGACGCCUGCCCAGUGCCAGAAGGUUAAAGAAGUCGGUUAGCAAUAGCAAGGCUGGUAACUGAAGCCCUGGUGAACGGCGGCCGUAACCAUAACGGUCCUAAGGUAGCGAAAUUCCUUGUCGGGUAAGUUCCGACCCGCACGAAAGGCGUAAUGAUUUGGAUGCUGUCUCGGAGAGGGGCUCGGUGAAAUAGACUUGUCUGUGAAGAUGCGGACUACCUGCACCAGGACAGAAAGACCCUAUGAAGCUUUACUGUAACUUGAAAUUGAAAUUGGACUUUAUUCGCGCAGUAUAGGUGGGAGGCGUUGAUUAUAAUCUUGUGGGAUUAUUGGAGCCAUCAGUGAGAUACCACUCUUGUAAUGUUAGAUUUCUAACUUUGAAUCAUUAUCUGGUCAAAGGACAGUUUCAGGCGGGCAGUUUGACUGGGGCGGUCGCCUCCUAAACGGUAACGGAGGCGUACAAAGGUUUCCUCUGAACGGUUAGAAAUCAUAUCUAGAGUGUAAGGCAUAAGGAAGCUUGACUGUGAGACCUACAAGUCGAGCAGGGACGAAAGUCGGUCUUAGUGAUCUGACGGUACUGAGUGGGAAGGCCGUCACUCAACGGAUAAAAGUUACUCUAGGAUAACAGGCUGAUCUCCCCCAAGAGUUCACAUCGACGGGGAGGUUUGGCACCUCGAUGUCGGCUCAUCGCAUCCUGGGGCGGUAGUACGUCCCAAGGGUUGGGCUGUUCGCCCAUGAAAGCGGUACGCGAGCUGGGUUCAGAACGUCGUGAGACAGUUCGGUCCAUAUCCGGUGUAGGCGCUAGAAUAUUGAGAGGAGCCUUCUUUAGUACGAGAGGACCGAGAAGGACAUACCUCUGGUGUACCAGUUAUCGUGCCAACGGUAAACGCUGGGUAGCUAUGUAUGGAGUGGAUAACCGCUGAAAGCAUCUAAGUGGGAAGCCCACCUCAAGAUAAGUAUUCUCAUCACGUAAGUGAGUAAGGUCACGGUAAGACUAACCGUUUGAUAGGCAUUAAGUGUAAGUACAGUAAUGUAUGUGCUGAGAUGUCCUAAUAGACCGAGGAC